AGCUCCAAUAGCGUAUAUUAAAGUUGUUGCAGUUAAAAAGCUCGUAGUUGAAUUUCUGAUAGAAGGGAGCGGUUCCGUAUUCUUACGGAUACUUGCUCGUCUUCCGUCAUCCUUGGGCUUAGUCUCGCUGAUAUUAACUUAUCGGCGUGUACGAUGCCCAUCGUUUACUGUGAGCAAAUUAGAGUGUUCAAAGCAGACUUAUGUCGUUGAAUAUAUUAGCAUGGAAUAAUAAGAUAGGACCUAGUGACUAUUUUGUUGGUUUGCGUUAUUAGGUAAUGAUUAAGAGGGACAGUUGUGGGUAUUCGUAUUCAGAUGUCAGAGGUGAAAUUCUUAGAUUAUCGGAAGACGAACGACUGCGAAAGCAUUUACCAAGGAUGUUU
rnacentral:rRNA from 1 species